AGCUUUGCGCAGUGGCAGUAUCAUAGCCAAUGAGGUUUAUCCGAGGCGCGAUUAUUGCUAAUUGAGAAUUUCUCCAGUUGUCCCCUAGGUGGAAAUACUCUGAAUUUUCAGAAGCGGCAUGUGUAAUCGAAAAUGUACGUGCAACUUCAGUCG
ensembl:snRNA U4 U4 spliceosomal RNA